rnacentral:rRNA from 1 species
GUACACACCGCCCGUCACACCAUGGGAGUUGGUUUUACCUUAAGACGGUGYGCYAACCGCAAGGARGCAGCCGGCCACGGUAAGGUCAGCGACUGGGGUGAAGUCGUAACAAGGUAGCCGUAGGUGAACCUGCAGAAGGAUCA